rnacentral:tRNA from 1 species
GGGGAUUUAGCUCAGUGGUAGAGCGCUUGCCUAGGAAGCGCAAGGCCCUGGGUUCGAUUCCCAGCUCCU